rnacentral:tRNA from 1 species
UCCUGGCUGGCUCAGUCAGUAGAGCAUGUGACUCUUGAUCUCAGGGUCGUGAGUUCAAGCCCCAUGUUGGGCA